AAAUUGAAGAGUUUGAUCAUGGCUCAGAUUGAACGCUGGCGGCAGGCCUAACACAUGCAAGUCGAACGGUAACAGGAAGCAGCUUGCUGCUUUGCUGACGAGUGGCGGACGGGUGAGUAAUGUCUGGGAAACUGCCUGAUGGAGGGGGAUAACUACUGGAAACGGUGGCUAAUACCGCAUAACGUCGCAAGACCAAAGAGGGGGACCUUCGGGCCUCUUGCCAUCAGAUGUGCCCAGAUGGGAUUAGCUUGUUGGUGAGGUAACGGCUCACCAAGGCGACGAUCCCUAGCUGGUCUGAGAGGAUGACCAGCCACACUGGAACUGAGACACGGUCCCAGACUCCUACGGGAGGCAGCAGUGGGGAAUAUUGCACAAUGGGCGCAAGCCUGAUGCAGCCAUGCCGCGUGUAUGAAGAAGGCCUUCGGGUUGUAAAGUACUUUCAGCGGGGAGGAAGGUGUUGUGGUUAAUAACCGCAGCAAUUGACGUUACCCGCAGAAGAAGCACCGGCUAACUCCGUGCCAGCAGCCGCGGUAAUACGGAGGGUGCAAGCGUUAAUCGGAAUUACUGGGCGUAAAGCGCACGCAGGCGGUCUGUCAAGUCGGAUGUGAAAUCCCCGGGCUCAACCUGGGAACUGCAUUCGAAACUGGCAGGCUUGAGUCUUGUAGAGGGGGGUAGAAUUCCAGGUGUAGCGGUGAAAUGCGUAGAGAUCUGGAGGAAUACCGGUGGCGAAGGCGGCCCCCUGGACAAAGACUGACGCUCAGGUGCGAAAGCGUGGGGAGCAAACAGGAUUAGAUACCCUGGUAGUCCACGCCGUAAACGAUGUCUACUUGGAGGUUGUGCCCUUGAGGCGUGGCUUCCGGAGCUAACGCGUUAAGUAGACCGCCUGGGGAGUACGGCCGCAAGGUUAAAACUCAAAUGAAUUGACGGGGGCCCGCACAAGCGGUGGAGCAUGUGGUUUAAUUCGAUGCAACGCGAAGAACCUUACCUGGUCUUGACAUCCACAGAAGAAUCCAGAGAUGGAUUUGUGCCUUCGGGAACUGUGAGACAGGUGCUGCAUGGCUGUCGUCAGCUCGUGUUGUGAAAUGUUGGGUUAAGUCCCGCAACGAGCGCAACCCUUAUCCUUUGUUGCCAGCGGUUAGGCCGGGAACUCAAAGGAGACUGCCAGUGAUAAACUGGAGGAAGGUGGGGAUGACGUCAAGUCAUCAUGGCCCCUACGACCGGGCUACACACGUGCUACAAUGGCGCAUACAAAGAGAAGCGACCUCGCGAGAGCAAGCGGACUCAUAAAGUGCGUCGUAGUCCGGAUUGAGUCUGCAACUCGACUCCAUGAAGUCGGAAUCGCUAGUAAUCGUGGAUCAGAAUGCCACGGUGAAUACGUUCCCGGGCCUUGUACACACCGCCCGUCACACCAUGGGAGUGGGUUGCAAAAGAAGUAGGUAGCUUAACCUUCGGGAGGGCGCUUACCACUUUGUGAUUCAUGACUGGGGUGAAGUCGUAACAAGGUAACCGUAGGGGAACCUGCGGUUGGAUCACCUCCUUACCUUAAAGAA
rnacentral:rRNA from 1 species